UCCGAGACUAGAAUCACAUGCUGACACAGCUCUUGUCCUGCUGUGCUAGCGUCCUUGGAGACAAUCUGCUGAUCUUGAUUCACUGGUGGGGGUGGGGAGUGGGGCGGUGAUUAGUGCCCCUGCCAGUCCCCUGAUCAGAAACAUUU
rnacentral:snoRNA from 1 species